rnacentral:rRNA from 1 species
UACGUAGGGCGCGAGCGUUGUCCGGAAUUAUUGGGCGUAAAGCGUGCGCAGGCGGUUUGUUAAGUCUGUUGUGAAAUCCCCGAGCUCAACUUGGGAAUUGCAAUGGAUACUGGCAGGCUGGAGUAUGGUAGAGGAAGGUGGAAUUCCCGGUGUAGCAGUGAAAUGCGUAGAGAUCGGGAGGAACACCAGUGGCGAAGGCGGCCUUCUGGACCAAUACUGACGCUGAAGCACGAAAGCGUGGGGAGCAAACAGG